rnacentral:rRNA from 1 species
UACGUAGGGGGCAAGCGUUGUCCGGAAUCAUUGGGCGUAAAGAGCGUGUAGGCGGCCCGAUAAGUCCGCCGUGAAAGUCCAGGGCUCAACCCUGGGAUGCCGGUGGAAACUGUCGGGCUAGAGUCCGGAAGAGGCGAGUGGAAUUCCUGGUGUAGCGGUGAAAUGCGCAGAUAUCAGGAGGAACACCGGUGGCGAAGGCGGCUACCUGGACAGAAACUGACGCUGAGGCGCGAAAGCUAGGGGAGCAAACAGG